rnacentral:rRNA from 1 species
GCCAGCGGCGAUAGCACGUUGAAUGGGCCAGUUCUCAAUGGAUCACUUAGGUUAAGCAACAUUGUGCGUGGUUAGUAUCCGAAUGGGUGACCAUUUGGCCAAUCGUGUGCUGCUGUUU